UACGUAGGGUGCAAGCGUUUGUCCGGAAUUAUUGGGCGUAAAGAGCUCGUAGGCGGUCUGUCGCGUCGGCUGUGAAAAACCCGGAGCUCAACUCCGGGCCUGCAGUCGAUACGGGCAAACUGGAGUGUUGCAGGGGAGACUGGAAUUCCUGGUGUAGCGGUGAAAUGCGCAGAGUAUCAGGAGGAACACCGGUGGCGAAGGCGGGUCUCGUGGGCAAGCAACGUGACGCUGGAGGAGCGAAAGCGGUGGGGAGCGAAACAGGA
rnacentral:rRNA from 1 species